rnacentral:tRNA from 1 species
GGGUGCUUAGCUCAGUUGGUCAGAGCGCCACGUUUACACCGUGGAUGCCAGAGGUUCGAAUCCUCUAGCGCCCA